ACCUCGCGAGAGCAAGCGGACCUCAUAAAGUAUGUCGUAGUCCGGAUUGGAGUCUGCAACUCGACUCCAUGAAGUCGGAAUCGCUAGUAAUCGUAGAUCAGAAUGCUACGGUGAAUACGUUCCCGGGCCUUGUACACACCGCCCGUCACACCAUGGGAGUGGGUUGCAAAAGAAGUAGGUAGCUUAACCUUCGGGAGGGCGCUUACCACUUUGUGAUUCAUGACUGGGGUGAAGUCGUAACAAGGUAACCGUAGGGGAACCUGCGGUUGGAUCACCUCCUU
rnacentral:rRNA from 1 species